UGAGUUGGCAGUGGUGACAGUAAAGGGAUGUCCUCCUCUGAUGGAGAAGCAGCAGACAUGAUGUGAUCCUCUGAACCCUCUGCAGACGCUGACAGCUCAAACUGCAGGUCGAGAGGGCAGCCAGCCAGGAAAACACGGUGUGAUGUUCCAUCUCUGUGUCGUAGGAGCGUUUAUUCUGCCUCAGGAUGUAGAUGUGCUCACUGGAGCAGCUCAUACACAUGUUUGAGGUGGAUUUAACUACAACUACAGCUGCAGAGGAGGGUAAACCCAGCAACGCCGUCACUCACAGCAACCUACACGUCUGUGACGCCUCAGUCCAGGAGCUCUGAUCCUCUGCAGCACCUUCCCCCUGCUCUCCAGACAGCCCUUAUAUUUACUCAAACAUGAGAUGUAGACGUUCAUUCCUGCACUGGCUGAAGCCUUGUUGGCAAAUUGUUCCUCUCCCCUGAUUCAAAGCAGCUUUGAUCACGUUGGUGUGUAAACACAGCAAGCGUUCAGCCUUCAGCUUCCAAU